UGGCUCUCGCAUCGAUGAAGAACGCAGCGAAAUGCGAUAAGUAAUGUGAAUUGCAGAAUUCAGUGAAUCAUCGAAUCUUUGAACGCACCUUGCACCCCUUGGUAUUCCGAGGGGUAUGCCUGUUCGAGUAUCAUCAAAUUCUCAAACCGAAUACUCGUUGUUCGGUCUUGGUUCUUGGAGUGUGCAGUUGAAUCCACACCUGCUCCUCUUCAAAUGCAUGAGUGGAACUUGACAGUUUCAGUAAAACCGGCGUGAUAAUUAUCUACGUCGCAAGCUAAACUUGAUCAUCCGCUUACAACCGUCUUCGGACAAUUAUCUCCAUUUGAUCUCGAAUCAGGUAGGACUACCCGCUGA
rnacentral:misc_RNA from 1 species